rnacentral:rRNA from 1 species
GAAGGUGGCAAGCGUUAUUCGGAUUUACUGGGCGUACAGGGAGCGUAGGCGGUUCGGUAAGCCCUCUGUGAAAUCUUCAGGCUUAACCUGGAAAAGUCGGAGGGGACUGCUGGGCUAGAGGACGGGAGAGGAGCGCGGAAUUCCCGGUGUAGCGGUGAAAUGCGUAGAGAUCGGGAGGAAGGCCGGUGGCGAAGGCGGCGCUCUGGAACGUUUCUGACGCUGAGGCUCGAAAGCGUGGGGAGCAAACAGGAUUAGAUACCCUGGUAGUCCACGCCUUAAACUAUGAAUACUAAGUGUCGGCGGUUUACCGCCGGUGCCGCAGCUAACGCAUUAAGUAUUCCGCCUGGGAAGUACGGCCGCAAGGUUG